GAUGAACGCUAGCGGCAGGCCUAACACAUGCAAGCCGAGCGGUAUUUGUCCUUCGUGACUGAGAGAGCGUCGUCCGCGUGCGGAACACGUGUGCAACCUGCCUUUAUCUGGGGGAUAGCCUUUCGAAAGGAAGAUUAAUACCCCAUACUAUAUCUAAUGUCAUCCUUCGAUAUUGAAAACUCCGGUGGAUUGUGAUGUGCACGCGCAAGAUUAGCUCGUUGGUGAGGUAACGCCUCACCAAGUCAGUGAUCUUUAGGGGGCCUGAGAGGGUGAUCCCCCACAAUGGUACCGAGACACAGACCACACUGCGACGGGAGGGAGCAGUGAGGAAUACUGGACGAGGGGUGAGGGCGUGAUCCAGCCACCCCGGGUGAAGGACUAAGGCGAUAGGGGAUGUAAACUUCUUUUAAACAGGGAUAAACCUAGUUACGAGGAAGUAGCUGAAGGUACAGUAUGAAUAAGCACCGGCUAACUCCGUG
rnacentral:rRNA from 1 species